AUUGAACGCUGGCGGCAGGCCUAACACAUGCAAGUCGAGCGGAGCGGCGGACGGGUGAGUAAUGCCUAGGAAUCUGCCUGGUAGUGGGGGAUAACGUCCGGAAACGGGCGCUAAUACCGCAUACUAUCAGAUGAGCCUAGGUGGGAUUAGCUUGUUGGGGGGGUAAAGGCCUACCAGGGCGACGCACCGUAACUGGUCUGAGAGGAUGAUCAGUCACACUGGAACUGAGACACGGUCCAGACGCCUACGUGAGGCAGCAGUGGGGAAUAUUGGACAAUGGGCGAAAGCCUGAGCCAGCCAUGCCGCGUGUGUGAAGAAGGUCUUCGGAUUGUAAAGCACUUUAAGUUGGGAGGCGUUACCAACAGACUAAGCACCGGCUAACUUCGUGCCAGCAGCCGCGGUAAUUG
rnacentral:rRNA from 1 species